GGGAUUGUGGCUCAGCGGUAGAGCGCUCGUCUAGCACGUGUGAGGUCCUGGGUUUGAUCCUCAGCCCCA
rnacentral:tRNA from 1 species